AGUCGAGGGGCAGCAUCAUCAAAGCUUGCUUUGAUGGAUGGCGACCGGCGCACGGGUGAGUAACACGUAUCCAACCUGCCGACAACACUGGGAUAGCCUUUCGAAAGAAAGAUUAAUACCGGAUGGUAUAGUUUUCCCGCAUGGGAUGAUUAUUAAAGAAUUUCGGUUGUCGAUGGGGAUGCGUUCCAUUAGGCAGUUGGCGGGGUAACGGCCCACCAAACCUACGAUGGAUAGGGGUUCUGAGAGGAAGGUCCCCCACAUUGGAACUGAGACACGGUCCAAACUCCUACGGGAGGCAGCAGUGAGGAAUAUUGGUCAAUGGACGAGAGUCUGAACCAGCCAAGUAGCGUGAAGGAUGACUGCCCUAUGGGUUGUAAACUUCUUUUAUACGGGAAUAAAGUGAGCCACGUGUGGCUUUUUGUAUGUACCGUAUGAAUAAGGAUCGGCUAACUCCGUGCCAGCAGCCGCGGUAAUACGGAGGAUCCGAGCGUUAUCCGGAUUUAUUGGGUUUAAAGGGAGCGUAGGCGGGUUGUUAAGUCAGUUGUGAAAGUUUGCGGCUCAACCGUAAAAUUGCAGUUGAUACUGGCGACCUUGAGUGCAACAGAGGUAGGCGGAAUUCGUGGUGUAGCGGUGAAAUGCUUAGAUAUCACGAAGAACUCCGAUUGCGAAGGCAGCUUACUGGAUUGUAACUGGCGCUGAUGCUCGAAAGUGUGGGUAUCAAACAGGAUUAGAUACCCUGGUAGUCCACACAGUAAACGAUGAAUACUCGCUGUUGGCGAUAUACAGUCAGCGGCCAAGCGAAAGCAUUA
rnacentral:rRNA from 1 species